ensembl:snRNA U6 U6 spliceosomal RNA
GUGCUCACUUUGGCAUCACACAAACUAAACGUGGAAAGAUACAGAGAAGACUAGCGUGGCCCCUGUGCAAGGGUGACAUGCAAAUUCAUGAUGCGUUCCAUAUUUUU